AGAACGAACGCUGGCGGCAUGCCUAAUACAUGCAAGUCGAACGAGAUCUUCGGAUCUAGUGGCGCACGGGUGCGUAACGCGUGGGAAUCUACCCUUGGGUUCGGAAUAACAGUUGGAAACGACUGCUAAUACCGGAUGACGACGAAAGUCCAAAGAUUUAUCGCCCAGGGAUGAGCCCGCGUAGGAUUAGCUAGUUGGUGAGGUAAAGGCUCACCAAGGCUACGAUCCUUAGCUGGUCUGAGAGGAUGAUCAGCCACACUGGGACUGAGACACGGCCCAGACUCCUACGGGAGGCAGCAGUAGGGAAUAUUGGACAAUGGGGGCAACCCUGAUCCAGCAAUGCCGCGUGAGUGAUGAAGGCCUUAGGUUGUAAAGCUCUUUACCCGAGAUGAUAAUGACAGUAUCGGAGAAUAAGCUCCGGCUAACUCCGUGCCAGCAGCCGC
rnacentral:rRNA from 1 species